rnacentral:rRNA from 1 species
UACAGAGACUGCGAGCGUUUAUUCGGAAUCACUGGGCGUAAAGGGCGCGUAGGUGGCUUGCCAAGCGUGUGGUGAAAGCCCGGAGCUCAACUCCGGGUCUGCCAUGCGAACUGGCAGGCUUGAGCACGGUAGAGGCCAAUGGAAUUCCGGGUGUAGCGGUGGAAUGCGUAGAGAUCCGGAAGAACACCGGUGGCGAAGGCGGUUGGCUGGGCCGUAGCUGACACUGAGGCGCGACAGCGUGGGGAGCAAACAGG